UACGGAGGGAGCUAGCGUUGUUCGGAAUUACUGGGCGUAAAGCGUGCGUAGGCGGUGACUCAAGUCAGAGGUGAAAGCCUGGAGCUCAACUCCAGAACUGCCUUUGAAACUAGGUCGCUAGAAUCUGGGAGAGGUGAGUGGAAUUCCGAGUGUAGAGGUGAAAUUCGUAGAUAUUCGGAAGAACACCAGUGGCGAAGGCGGCUCACUGGACCAGAAUUGACGCUGAGGCACGAAAGCGUGGGGAGCAAACAGG
rnacentral:rRNA from 1 species